rnacentral:rRNA from 1 species
GACGAACGCUGGCGGCGUGCCUAAUACAUGCAAGUUGAGCGCUGAAGGUUGGUACUUGUACCAACUGGAUGAGCAGCGAACGGGUGAGUAACGCGUGGGGAAUCUGCCUUUGAGCGGGGGACAACAUUUGGAAACGAAUGCUAAUACCGCAUAAAAACUUUAAACACAAGUUUUAAGUUUGAAAGAUGCAAUUGCAUCACUCAAAGAUGAUCCCGCGUUGUAUUAGCUAGUUGGUGAGGUAAAGGCUCACCAAGGCGAUGAUACAUAGCCGACCUGAGAGGGUGGUCGGCCACAUUGGGACGGAGACACGGCCCAAACUCCUACGGGAGGCAGCAGUAGGGAAUCUUCGGCAAUGGACGGAAGUCUGACCGAGCAACGCCGCGGGAGUGAAGAAGGUUUUCGGAUCGUAAAACUCUGUUGGUAGAGAAGAACGUGGGUGAGAGUGGAAAGCUCAUCAAGUGACGGUAACUACCCAGAAAGGGACGGCUAACUACGUG